rnacentral:rRNA from 1 species
GACGGAGGAUGCAAGCGUUAUCCGGAAUGAUUGGGCGUAAAGCGUCCGCAGGUGGCAGUUCAAGUCUGCUGUCAAAGACCGGGGCUUAACUUCGGAAAGGCAGUGGAAACUGAACAGCUAGAGUAUGGUAGGGGCAGAGGGAAUUUCCAGUGGAGCGGUGAAAUGCGUAGAUAUUGGAAAGACCACCAAUGGCGAAGGCACUCUACUGGGCCAUUACUGACACUGAGAGACGAAAGCUAGGGGAGCGAAUGGG